CGCAACAUACACAUUUUCGCAACAGUUAUCUACUAAAUAUGUUGUCUUUUUUAGGCCAAGAUUCUGUGCCAUACAAUAUAGUUGGUCGAAUCGCCGUCCUAUAAAACUUGUCUCUUAGCUCCUGUGAUACCCUCUUGUCAUAUAGAACGCCACAUGCUUGAUGGCACUUCAUCCACCCUGCUUUGAUUAUAUGGCUAACAUCAUCAAUAUUCUCGUCUCUAUGUAGCAUUGACUCUAAAUACCUAAAGACGUCCUUCCUAGGCACUACUUGAACUAACAUCAAUAUUCUUGUCUCUUUGUGGCUAAAAGUGUUGCACUAAAGUUUAGCACCCUUUAGCACUUUAGCUCCACCAAAGGUGCUAAACUAUGCUAAAAAUGGUCCCCUGACCCAUUUCUCUCUCCUCUCUCUCCCCCACCAAAAUGUCCCUUCUCUCUCCUUCCCCCACCGGUUGGUCGCUUGUUUAGGCAUUGAUUAGGGUAUUGUGCUAAAGUUUAGCACUUGUAUUCAAACAGCCCUCAAGUGCUAAAAUUUAGCAAAAGUUUAGUAGGUGCUAAACUUUAGCAUGUGCUAAACUUUAGCACUAUGGAAACAAACAAGCCCUUACUAUUUACUCCUGCCCGAC
rnacentral:lncRNA from 1 species